CCUCAGGUGACUCCUAUCUCAUUUUUGGCUUCUCAGGUCGACUUGAUCUCUGGGAUGAAACAAAGCUUGACUCCCAGAAAGCUGAAGAAAGAAGUCUAAAGUUUGUUUGAAGCUCUGGUGAAGACUUCCACAGACAGCUUCUACCUUCUUUCCAGUCCAUGGAAUCUAAGACUUCUAUGAGGAUCAGGCUAUACAAAUAGAAUCUUUACACUGGCAAAUUGCACCUAUUGUUGUUGGGGUGCAUCUGAAGACUGACGCAGAAACAGGCAAGAACACUGAGUGAAAAUAGGCACCCCAGAAAAGAUAAUGGGAACUUGAUCCGUAUUUUGAGAGCUGUUCACAGUGCAAAAUCAGAAAUAAGAACGUUAUUUCUUUUUGCCUUUCAAGAUCCUGGAUCUGGAGGUGGGGCGAUGAAAUGUGAUAAAACUAGGAAACAUGAAGGAAGACACCGUAUUGGGUUUUAUUAUUACUUGGCUCCCAGUGAAGAAGCUUUAAUCAUGAAUGUUAACAUACAACGUUCAGUGAAGUUGCAAGAUGUGGCAGUCAUGGUAGUGAAGAAGUGGAAAGACUGAUUCCAGUUGUUCCUCCGUGAACUGUGCCGAAUUCCUGCCCGAAUUGUGGUCACUGAAGGUACAUAAGGCAAAAUUCUGUAAGGAUAAAAUGAAAGAAAAUGCCAGUAGAAUGAUUCCUGGAAUGGUCUUCACCCCCUGAACUCUCUUUUGAUAGUCAGGGCCACUGAAAGUUCCCCACACAAUCUGGAGGCUUUGAGAGGAGAGGAAAAAGAAGCUGAGAAGAGUUAACAUUGGUUGUAUGCUGUGGUUUAGUGGUGGCUGAAGAGGCGGUGAGAUGUGACUGUGGAGAUACAUACUGCUAAACUGCCUUGUGCUGGGAAGCCCUGUUGGGCCACAGGAGGACUUGUGGCUCUUGCCGGUAAUGCCUCCAAGGAGAAUUAAGGAGAUGUCUAGAAAAUAGGUUACUACAGAGGUAGGUUGCAGACUUGUAUACCUUGGUAGCUAAGACUAAGGAGCACAAAGGGUCUGAAGCCUUACUGAACUCAUGUUCUCUAUGAAAGAUAGAUUUCUUGAUGACAGGAGCACUGGACUGUGUAUUUGUCACUUAUUUGUUAGGUAGUUUCGGACAAGAGAAAAACAAUUUGACAUGUCCACAUUCUCAUCUGUAGAAUGAACAUCUUAUGUGAUUUCUUUAUGGCACGUGUGAUCUGAUCACCAUUAGUGAGAGACGAGUGUCUUCACUGAGAUGCAUGUCUACUGCUUACUGAUGUAUAGAAGCUUUCAGAUGGUUUGUACUCCUGCACCACAUAACCACUUGGGUACAUAUUUUCUUGCUGUUGCAGAAUUCCUUUAACUUUGGAUAAAAUUGCAGUCUGCCUUCCUGAAUAACAAUGCGGAGUUAGAGACAUAUUCUGUCUGUAAUACCUUGGAUUUGAGGAAAAUGCAUUUAAAAACAAACCCAAAUUCACAUAAAUGUUUUAAAAGUCAGGUCUGAAAUUGGAUCUUAUUCAGUUUAGGUCAAUAGUCUAGAAAGAAAAAUUCAGAAUAGGAGAUGAAUUGU
rnacentral:lncRNA from 1 species